GUCUCAGUUCGGAUUGAAGGCUGAAAUUCGCCUUCAUGAAGCUGGAAUUGCUAGUAAUGGCAGGUCAGCAUACUGCCGUGAAUACGUUCCCGGGCCUUGUACACACCGCCCGUCACACCAUGAGAGUUGGAAAUACCCGAAGCCUGUGAGCUAACUGUAAAGAGGCAGCAGUCGAAGGUAGAGCCAAUGAUUGGGGUGAAGUCGUAACAAGGUAUC
rnacentral:rRNA from 1 species